rnacentral:rRNA from 1 species
GACGAACGCUGGCGGCGUGCUUAACACAUGCAAGUCGAGCGGUAAGGCCCUUUCGGGGGUACACGAGCGGCGAACGGGUGAGUAACACGUGGGUGACCUGCCCUCAGCUCUGGGAUAAGCCUGGGAAACCGGGUCUAAUACUGGAUAUGACUCCAUGACGCAUGUUGUGGGGUGGAAAGCCUUGUGCGGCUGAGGAUGGGCCCNCGGCCUAUCAGCUUGUUGGUGGGGUGANGGCCUACCAAGGCGACGACGGGUAGCCGGCCUGAGAGGGCGACCGGCCACACUGGGACUGAGACACGGCCCAGACUCCUACGGGAGGCAGCAGUGGGGAAUCUUGCGCAAUGGGCGAAAGCCUGACGCAGCGACGCCGCGUGAGGGAUGACGGCCUGGUUGUAACGU